AUACUUAGCUGGCAGGGGAGAUAAAAAUGAUCACGAAGGUGGUUUUCCCAGGCCGAGGCUUACCCAUUGCACUCCAGAUGUGCUGAUCCCUGCCAUUUCCCCAAAUGUAGGAAACUCAACUGCAUCAUUUGUGGUAGUGGGGGACUGAGUUUGUACACUCCCCUA
rnacentral:snRNA from 1 species